rnacentral:rRNA from 1 species
AGGACGAACGCUGGCGGCGUGCUUAACACAUGCAAGUCGAACGAGGUCCAUCCAGUCGCAAGACUGGUGAAGGUCGAGUGGCGAACGGGUGCGUAACACGUGAGUAACCUGCCCUGGACUUUGGGAUAACCCUCGGAAACGGGGGCUAAUACCGGAUAUGACACGGUUUUGCAUGAGGCUGUGUGGAAAGAUUUUUUGGUCUGGGAUGGGCUCGCGGCCUAUCAGCUUGUUGGUGGGGUGAUGGCCUACCAAGGCGACGACGGGUA